UGGUCAUAAGCGUCGUUAAACGAAUCAACAAAGCCAUCGAAGAAAUCGAAUUCGUCAUCGGAGCUAUCGUUGUUCCCGUUGAAGCAAUUACAACGAUGAUUAUUACGUCCAGUUUUAGUUUGCUUAUCGUUGUUUUCUUCCAUGUAGCUUUGAACCAUCUUCGCUAAGCUCUGCUCAAACUCUGUUCCAUCGAUUAGUGAUUUAUCUGAGUUUGAGCUUCUCGUGAAUGGUCGAUCUAAGAGACGCUUGAGACGAGACUUGAGCACUGGUUUGCUUGAUGAUGAUGAUGAUUCAGCUCGUUGUAAGUCUCUGUUCGCCGGAAACUCGUUGUUUAUCGGCUGAAUCUUCAUCGGAAAAUUCAAAGUUUCUCCAGAUUUGAGAUCUCUCCAGGACAAAAAAAAAACUCAAAGAGGCAAAAUUGGAAUAUAGUAAAACCUCUAAGAUAACUAAGUAUUAGUAGAAGAAAUAAAAACUAUACGAUCUUCUCAAGUCAGUGGAUCAUCAUUAUCAUAACAAAAACGAAGAAGAAAGAGAGAAAAAGAAAAAAAACAAAAAAUCUAAGAAGACGACUCGGAGUUUACUUAACGCCGACGAUUUUCACGGAAAACGUGACGGCGAUUGAUUAAGGUAACGGUAACAGAGGGAAAAGUCACCGGAAAAUUCAUGUUACCGGCGAUUGAUUUAGCUUUUGUUGAAUUAAAAAAGAGUGUUUUUUUGUUUUUUCUGAUUUAAGGAAAA
rnacentral:lncRNA from 1 species